AACAACAUCUACAAUGCAUGAGGAAAGAUUAAGUUUUAAAUUUUAUUUUAUUUGCAAAUCAAAUCUGCCAUACCCGCUACCGUUGAUGUACCUUGCACUGUGGAAUGAAAGUGACAGUUCGCCGGAGCCUCCAACUUGAGAGGCUGUGUUUUUUCAAGUUGCAACAUGCCGGAACCAAAUCGAAAUAUAACACUGCAGUGCAGUGCACUGAUGAGUUCUCAACUAGAAGGGAGGCAGUUGGAGUUUGCAGUGUAUACCAGCGUCAUCACCCAGGUGCCAUCGGAACUUCAUCGCGACUGCAGGAAUGUCGCGGGUUAAGUUCCGUUGGCCACACCUUGACACAGGAUGGACAAGCCAUCGACACUGCUCGCCAGUCGGCACCGUUGGAAGGCCAGAUAUGAUGCGGUUGGAGUGGUUGCUCCGGAUUAUUCCGGUCUAAAGCAAGCCGUCGCAGCAACAGAAAAAAGCCGUCGCAGCUGUAGCAACCACAGCCGAUGUAAAGUGAGUGAGUUUAAAGUGAAGUGAUUUUAUUGUGAUAAUGUGAAUAAAUUGAAAUAAAAUAAGUGUUCCUAAA